ACAGCAGUAGCCACGGGAACACGAAGGGGGCUAGCGUUGUUCGGAAUUACUGGGCGUAAAGCGCACGUAGGCGGAUAUUUAAGUCAGGGGUGAAAUCCCGCAGCUCAACUGCGGAACUGCCUUUGAUACUGGGUAUCUUGAGUAUGGAAGAGGUUAGUGGAAUUGCGAGUGUAGAGGUGAAAUUCGUAGAUAUUCGCAGGAACACCAGUGGCGAAGGCGGCUAACUGGUCCAUAACUGACGCUGAGGUGCGAAAGCGUGGGGAGCAAACAGGAUUAGAUACCCCCGUAGUCCCUGUCUCUUAUAC
rnacentral:rRNA from 1 species